rnacentral:rRNA from 1 species
UUGAGAGUUUGAUCCUGGCUCAGAACGAACGCUGGCGGCAGGCUUAACACAUGCAAGUCGAGCGCACUCUUCGGAGUGAGCGGCGGACGGGUUAGUAACGCGUGGGAACAUACCCUUUUCUACGGAAUAGCCUCGGGAAACUGAGAGUAAUACCGUAUACGCCCUUCGGGGGAAAGAUUUAUCGGUGAAGGAUUGGCCCGCGUUUGAUUAGAUAGUUGGUGGGGUAAUGGCCUACCAAGUCUACGAUCAAUAGCUGGUUUGAGAGGAUGAUCAGCAACACUGGGACUGAGACACGGCCCAGACUCCUACGGG